rnacentral:misc_RNA from 1 species
UCCGGUUUAUCACCGGCAGUCUCGCUAGAGUCCCCAACUUAAUGCUGGCAACUAACGACAAGGGUUGCGCUCGUUGCGGGACUUAACCCAACAUCUCACGACACGAGCUGACGACAACCAUGCACCACCUGUAGCAGUGUCCCCGAAGGGAACGGUUAAUCUCUUAACCCGUCACUGUUAUGUCAAGCCCUGGUAAGGUUCUUCGCGUUGCAUCGAAUUAAACCACAUGCUCCGCUACUUGUGCGGGUCCCCGUCAAUUCCUUUGAGUUUCACACUUGCGUGCGUACUCCCCAGGCGGAGUGCUUAAUGUGUUAACGGCGGCACCGAGCUUUGACACCCGACACCUAGCACUCAUCGUUUAGGGCGUGGACUAC